CAAGUAUUAGUUAUUCUCUAAUCUUAGUUUUUCCAGUUAUGAUUCCACCGGCUGCUCUGUGUUUCUUGGCGGUUCUACUGAGUACCGCUCAAGGAAGACCGGACGGUGCCCCCUCAGACGCCUGUGAGACUAUGGACCCCAGCCAUGGGGGUUCACCCCCAGACCGGCCCCAUGCCUUACACUCUGCAGCUGGACAGCCACAAGAUCAACAGUGGAGGUAGUGUUCACUUCACCAUUAGGGCCCAGCCUCCCAAACACGUUUGCUGGGUUCAUGGUGCAGGCGAGGAACGACAAGGGUAGGCCGGUGGGAGUGUUCACUCAGAGCGACAAUGUGAAGCCUACGGAAGUGUUUUGGUGUUCCCGCUAACACCGCUACACACGUGAACCACCAGCCGAAGACUGAGAUAACCAUGAGCUGGAGUGCGGAUCCAGGAUACGUAGGAGAUGUCAUGUUCCACGCUACGGUCGCCAAGUCAAUGAAAGAAUAUUGGGUAAGGCAGAGGGCAAGACCUCUAGCAGUCGUCAGGACAUAGACCUUCAUGUUGUUAUGUUCUGUCCGAUAUCCAAGGUCAACACUUUCACUGGAGCUUGGUCAAACUUCAUGAUGUAUAACUUUUAUCGCUACUUUAAAUUAUACAUGAACCAUUAAAAAGAGGACAUUUUUGUUUCAUGUCAUAUAGUACUUGGUAUCUUGACAUAAAAAAUAAGGCAUAAUAAUAGGAAGAAAAUAUCUGUCAUUGGAACCAUUAUAUCCUACAAAACAGUGUUUAUCUCACUCUUAUCAGUAUCAGUUGUUUGGUUAUUUACUGAUUUUAACCAGAUUUAUAUUUUGUAGUUGUAGCAACCCAAAUGUUUUGUUCACCUCGUUAAUGUUUUAUACGUUUUCUAUUUUUUCAAAAUUUUAUAGUCAAUUCUUUUACUAGUAAGUACAACAGGUACAGUUCUUAGAACGGUAACAAAAGUAACUUAUUUAUUUAAAUGUUACAAUACAGAUUUCAAAAUCAAAUUACAUUGUAAAAUAUUAAUAUAAUAUUAUUCAUUGAUAUAUUAGCAAAUUGCACAGAAAAGUCACUGCUGUGUGUUGUUGUUCCAGUUCGAUGGCAUAGAAUUAGUAUGUCUAGAAUUAUACUUGCAGUGCAAAAGUAAUUAUGUUCAUUACUUAUUUAAAAGAUAAAUUGAAAACAAUUUAAAACUUUAUUACAAGAUUAACGCUUCAGGCACUGUAUUGGUUGUAAAUAAUAUUUAAGAAAUAAAUUUGUUAUUAUAAACAAA